rnacentral:rRNA from 1 species
CAGUCGCCGCGGUAAUACGUAGGGUGCAAGCGUUAAUCGGAAUUACUGGGCGUAAAGCGUGCGCAGGCGGUUAUAUAAGACAGAUGUAAAAUCCCCGGGCUCAACCUGGGAACUGCAUUUGUGACUGUAUAGCUAGAGUACGGCAGAGGGGGAUGGAAUUCCGCGUGUAGCAGUGAAAUGCGUAGAUAUGCGGAGGAACACCGAUGGCGAAGGCAAUCCCCUGGGCCUGUACUGACGCUCAUGCACGAAAGCGUGGGGAGCAAACAGGAUUAGAUACCCCCGUAGUCCCUGUCUCUUAUAC